UACGGAGGAUGCAAGCGUUAUCCGGAAUGAUUGGGCGUAAAGCGUCCGCAGGUGGCUGUGUAAGUCUGCUGUCAAAGAGCGAAGCUCAACUUCGUAAAGGCAGUGGAAACUACACGGCUAGAGUGCGUUCGGGGCAGAGGGAAUUCCUGGUGUAGCGGUGAAAUGCGUAGAGAUCAGGAAGAACACCGGCGGCGAAGGCGCUCUGCUAGGCCGCAACUGACACUGAGGGACGAAAGCUAGGGGAGCGAAUGGG
rnacentral:rRNA from 1 species